rnacentral:rRNA from 1 species
GGGGAAUAUUGGGCAAUGGGGGAAACCCUGACCCAGCAACACCGCAUGAGGGAAGAAGGUCUUCGGAUUGUAAACCUAUGUCCUAUGGGACGAAAAAAAUGACGGUACCAUAGGAGGAAGCUCCGGCUAACUACGUGCCAGCAGCCGCGGUAAUACGUAGGGAGCAAGCGUUGUCCGGAAUUACUGGGCGUAAAGGGUGCGUAGGUGGCUUGACAAGUCAGAUGUGAAAGACCGGGGCUUAACCCCGGGGUUGCAUUUGAAACUGUUGAGCUUGAGUGCAGGAGAGGGAAGUGGAAUUCCUAGUGUAGCGGUGAAAUGCGUAGAUAUUAGGAGGAACACCGGUGGCGAAGGCGGCUUUCUGGACUGCAACUGACACUGAGGCACGAAAGCGUGGGGAGCAAAC